UGGUGCGGUGCACUAUGGUGUGUGUACUGUAACUGGAAUAGUUUGGUGUGUGUGAGUAAAUGGUUUGGUGUAGUGUGAGUAAAUGGUUUGGUGCGGUGCACUAUGGUGUGUGUACUGUAACUGGAAUAGUUUGGUGUGGUGUGAGUAAAUGGUUUGGGUGUAGUGUGCGUAAAAUGGUUUGGUGCGAUGUGAGUAAAUGGUUUGGUGCAGUGUGAGUGAAUGGUUUGGUGGUGGUGUGAGUAAAUGGUUUGGUGUGAUGUGAGUAAAUGGUUGGUGCGAUGUGAGUAAAUGGUUUGGUGCAGUGUGAGUGAAUGGUUUGGUGUGGUGUGAUAAAUAGUGGUGCGUUUGGUGGUGUGUGAGUAAAUGGUUUGGUGUUGUGUGAGUAAAUGGUUUGGUGCGAUGUGAGUAAAUGGUUUGGUGUGGUG
rnacentral:lncRNA from 1 species